UGGGGAAUAUUGCACAAUGGGGGAAACCCUGAUGCAGCGACACCGCGUGAAGGAAGAAGUAUCUCGGUAUGUAAACUUCUAUCAGCAGGGAAGAUAGUGACGGUACCUGACUAAGAAGCCCCGGCUAACUACGUGCC
rnacentral:rRNA from 1 species